rnacentral:rRNA from 1 species
GAUGAACGCUAGCGGCAGGCUUAAUACAUGCAAGUCGAACGGUAGAAGUUUCUUCGGAGACUUUGAGAGUGGCGCACGGGUGCGUAACGCGUAUGCAACCUGCCUUCAGUUGGGGGAUAGCCCGGGGAAACCCGGAUUAAUACCGCAUAACACAGGGGCCCCGCAUGGGGAUAUUUGUUAAAGAUUUAUCGACUGAAGAUGGGCAUGCGUCUGAUUAGCUGGUUGGUGAGGUAACGGCUCACCAAGGCGACGAUCAGUAGGGGAUCUGAGAGGAUGGCCCCCCACACUGGUACUGAGAUACGGACCAGACUCCUACGGGAGGCAGCAGUAAGGAAUAUUGGACAAUGGGCGGAAGCCUGAUCCAGCCAUGCCGCGUGCAGGACGACGGCCCUACGGGUUGUAAACUGCUUUUGUAAGGGAAUAAUAAGGCGAACGGGUUUCGCUGAUGAAGGUACCUUACGAAUAAGCAUCGGCUAACUCCGUGCCAGCAGCCGCGGUAAUACGGAGGAUGCAAGCGUUAUCCGGAUUUAUUGGGUUUAAAGGGUGCGUAGGCGGCCUGUUAAGUCAGGGGUGAAAUGUUGCGGCUUAACCGCAGAAUUGCCUUUGAAACUGGCAGGCUUGAAUGAAGUUGAGGUAGGCGGAAUGUGGCAAGUAGCGGUGAAAUGCAUAGAGAUGCCACAGAACACCGAUUGCGAAAGGCAGCUUACUAAGCUUUGAUUGACGCUGAGGCACGAAAGCGUGGGGAUCAAACAGGAUUAGAUACCCUGGUAGUCCACGCAGUAAACGAUGAGAACUAGCUGUUGGCGAUAGAAUGUCAGCGGCACAGCGAAAGCGUUAAGUUCUCCACCUGGGGAGUACGACCGCAAGGUUGAAACUCAAAGGAAUUGACGGGGGCCCGCACAAGCGGAGGAGCAUGUGGUUUAAUUCGAUGAUACGCGAGGAACCUUACCUGGGCUUGAAAGUGAGUGACCGGCGCUGAAAGGCGCCUUCCCUUCGGGGCACAAAACUAGGUGCUGCAUGGCUGUCGUCAGCUCGUGCCGUGAGGUGUUGGGUUAAGUCCCGCAACGAGCGCAACCCCUAUCAUCAGUUGCCAACAGGUAAAGCUGGGGACUCUGGUGAGACUGCCUGCGCAAGCAGUGAGGAAGGCGGGGACGACGUCAAGUCAUCAUGGCCCUUACGUCCAGGGCUACACACGUGCUACAAUGGCAGCUACAGAGGGCCGCGACCGUGCAAACGGGAGCCAAUCUCAAAAAGGUUGUCACAGUUCGGAUUGAGGUCUGCAACUCGACCUCAUGAAGUUGGAUUCGCUAGUAAUCGCGUAUCAGCAAUGACGCGGUGAAUACGUUCCCGGGCCUUGUACACACCGCC